GUGAGGUGUCAGCUCCUGCUGCCCUCCCCCAUCUCCGAGGACCCCAGCCCAGGACAGCCCAGGACGGCCCAGCCCAGGACAGCCCAGGACGGCCCAGCCCAGGACAGUCCAGGCCCCGAUGCCUGGGGUUUGCGGGGCCGGAGACAAUCCCUGAGAAAGGCUGAUGGAAACCUGGAGCAGGGAGACCCCCGUCCUUCACCCUCACCUCCAGGAGUGUUCCAGGAAUCGGCAAGCAAGAACGGAGCCGAGUGGAACCGUGCUUCGGGGCCCCUUUGACCCUGACCUGGAGCCAGACUUUUCCGUGUUGAGAGCCUCCGUUCCUGGGGUAAGUGGGCAGACUCAGGCCUCAGUCCAUCCUGAGCUCUCACCUCAGGGCCUGACCCCAGUCCCCUCAUGCCCUCUCUGGCCUGCCUGCCUCAUCCCACAACCCCUCACCCCAGCCCCCCGAUUCACUCGGCACAUGCUUAUGUGACCCCUGUGCAGGUCGCUCGUUUCCCGCCCAAUUGAAAGGCUGUCUGACUUUCCCUGCUUCCUCCCCAUCAGCAGUCUUGCGGCAGGGCCUGUGGGACGGCCCUGAGGGGUGACCUCAGGUGGGAUGGGGGUGGCCCAGAGCGUGGCCCAGGACAGGGCAGAGCCAGGCCAGGGUGGCAGGUGAGAGACACAGGGCAGAGGGUUCUCCGUGUCGGACAUGUGAGUUUCAGGAAGCGGUAGUGGCUGUGAGUCAGUGCAGGUUUGUGCCUGCUCCCAGCUUAAGAACUGGGGUCCUGGCCUGGACCGUGGCCGUAUCACUCUAUUUCAACCUCCCGGCCCCCCAGAACCCAGCUCAACUCAGAUUUGACCUUCUCUUCAAACCAGGCAUUCUGGGGCCUUGCCCCUAUCUCGGGCAUCCAGUAACCCAGGUCUUCCCCACCUCUCUCUUCCUCUGUCCCAGGCUCCGGGCUGGCAGCUGGCCAAGGAGGAGAGGAGACUCCAAUGGAGGGUACAGUCUUUUCCCAGGGGUUGGGAGGAACAGCUCUGCUUCUCUUGGGAGUUGGAAAAUCUGCCACAGAAAUAAAGUUGGCAGUAGGAGUAGUA